UGUUCUUACACUUCCUACAAGCUGAUGGGUGCACAGUAGCUCACUACAGCCUGAUUUUUAUUCCACUAAGGAUCACAGCCACAUCUUGAACUUGAAACAGGAUAUGGCUAACCCUCUGGCAUUUAACCUUUAUGUCAAGGCUUCUUCAAAGCUGCACUGGAUGCCACUUCACAGUUUAUAACUCUCCAAGGCAUUAAGGUUGUUCUCUGUGCUACUAAGAACAAUUACAUCUCUUUCUAGAUGGCCAGAGAGAAGCAAGGAUCCUUACUGCCAAGACUCUUCAAAAUGCUGUCACUGAAGAUAUGAAGCAAACAAUCAUUUGGAUAAGAAAACGUUUAUUUCGAAGUGUUAGUAUUCAAGCACUACCAGAAUAAUCAGGUCCACAAAUAUAUUAGACAGAGUCUGUUUGCCAUACAUCUAAUCAAAAGUUAGACAGAAAAUUGUUGCUGAUUCAGCCUUUCCUUUAAAAUUCAGAGCAUAGGCCCAUGUCAACUUGAGUUAUGAAGGACACACCACAAUGAUGUGGCAUACCCGUUCAGUACUGAUGGCCUAAGGCAUUCUUAAUCUGAUGAAGGAUCAGUUCUGAGGAAGGGUCACUGGACCUGCCAGGCCUGCUGAUCUUUUCCAGUAACCUCUGUUCUUGUAUCAGUGAUCUGCACCUGAUUUCUGAGAGCUAUAGAAAAUGACAGCAAACUCUCUUCAUUACGGUCUCUUUGCCAUCUGCUUCUCCAUCUGAAUGUUAAGCAGAAGCCAUUUCAAGUAACAGUUCUUGCUGGUACUGCUGCUGACAUCAAAAUUUCCCCGUUCUUGGAGAUUGUCUUCACUUCUGAACCAAGAUCAUUAGAAAAGCAGAAACCAGGAGGUUGAUCUUAGAUGUGUGAGUAGAUGCUAUGUGGAGAAUGUCAGAAUUAGAAAAGCAUUUUAGAAAUGGUACUUCUGAACUCUCUCAUCAAUCACAGGAAGCACUGCAUCAUUGAAACAUAGAAGAUCAGAGCAGAAGUAGAGCAUUCCAUCCCUCAAGCCUGCUCUACCAUUAAUUAUGAAUAUGGCUGAUUAGCAAACUCAAUACACUAAGCCAAGCCUCCUCCCCCACCCCAUACCUCAAUCCCUUUAGCCACAAGAGCUAUAUCUACCUCCUCCUUGAAAACACGAUGUUUUGUCCUCAACCACAUUGUAAUCGUGAAUUCCGUAGGUUUGCCACUCUCUAGGUGAAGAAACUUCUCCUCAUUUCAGUCCUGAAAACACAUUAUCUUAAGCUUUGACAACUGUUUCUGGACAUACCCAUCACUGGGACAUCCUUCCUGUAACUAACCUGUCUAGCCUUGUAAGAAUUUUACAGGUUUCAAAGAGAUCCCCUAUCAUCCUCCUAAAUUUCAGUGAAAGAAAUCCUGACGUAAUUUCUCCUCACAUGUUAGUCCUAUCAUCCAAGGAAACAGUCUGGUAAACCUUAAUUCCAGUUUCCCCAUAACAAGAACAUCCCUUAUUAGAUAAGGAGAGCAAAACUGUACAAAAAAUUCCAAGUGUGGCCUCACCAAAGAACAGUAUAAUUGCAGCAAGACAACCUCGUACCUGCACUUGUAUAUUUUUGCUAUGAAGGUCAAAAUAAGUUUGCCUUCUUUACUGCCUGCAGUGCCUUUGCACUUAUUUUCAGCAAACUAGCAUACAAUGAUACCCAAAACUUGUUGAACAUUUUCCUUUCUCAGUUUACAACCAUUCAAAUAAUAACCUGCUUUCCUAUUUUGCUUACAAAAUGGAUAACCUCAAAUUUAUCCACUUCAUAUUGUAUCUUCCAUGCAUUUGCCCACUCACUCAGCUUGUCCAAAUUACACUGCAACACUUCUCACAGCUCACUUUUCCACCCAACUUUGUGUCAUCUGCCAAACUUGAGAUAUUGCAUUUAAUUCCCUCAUCUAAAUUAUUAGCAGAUAUUGUGAAUAGCUGAGGUCCGUGUCCCACAGUAAUCCACUAGCCACUACCUACCAUUCAUUAAAAAGAAUCUGUUUAUUAUUACUCUUUGAUUCAUCUCUGCCAACCAAUUUUUAUCCAUUCCAAUACAUGACCUUGUUUUCUAGGUUAUACCCAUGUUAUG